rnacentral:rRNA from 1 species
ACUCAAAGGAAUUGACGGGGGCCCGCACAAGCGGUGGAGCAUGUGGUUUAAUUCGAUGCAACGCGAAGAACCUUACCUGGGUUAGACAACACAGGACAGCGGUAGAGAUAUCGUUUUCCCUUCGGGGACCUGUGGUUUAGGUGCUGCAUGGCUGUCGUCAGCUCGUAUCGUGAGAUGUCGGGUUAAGUCCCUUAACGAGCGCAACCCCUAUCCCUAGUUGCCACCAUUCAGUUGGGCACUCUAUGGAGACUGCCGGUGUUAAACCGGAGGAAGGCGGGGAUGACGUCAAGUCCUCAUGGCCUUUAUGUCCAGGGCUACACACGUGCUACAAUGGCAGGUACAAAGGGUUGCCAACCCGCAAGGGGGAGCUAAUCUCAUAAAGCCUGUCUCAGUUCGGAUUGAAGUCUGCAACUCGACUUCAUGAAGCUGGAAUCGCUAGUAAUCGCGGAUCAGAACGCCGCGGUGAAUACGUUCCCGGGCCUUGUACACACCGCCCGU